ACAAGAUUAAGUACAUAAUCACCGGAAGAUACAAAAUCUAUUUCUUAUAAUGAUACUCUGAAGCAUCUGAAUACGUCAACAUAUUUUAUGUUCAUUAACUAAUAAAAAAAGAUGUGUUCGAAUUUGAAAAUUACUUACUUGACCUUAAAUCUAUGACCAAGAGUGACUAGAGACAGUUAUAAUCUUAUUUAUCAGGAAUUAUUAGUUUAUUUUGUAAUUUUUGUAACCGUAUACCCUUAUAAGCAACUUUUCUGUACUGUUUUUUUUUU